GCCAGCGUAGUUCAGUGGUAGAACGCCAUCUUGGUAAGAUGGAAGUCGGGAGUCCGAUUCUCCCCGCUGGCU
rnacentral:tRNA from 1 species